UGCAGUCGACGGGAAAGUGGAGCAAUCCAUGAGUACAGUGGCGUACGGGUGAGUAACACGUGGGUAAUCUACCUCUUAGUGGGGAAUAACCCUGGGAAACCGGGGCUAAUACCGCAUAAGCCUGAGAAGGGAAAGCAGCAAUGCGCUGAGAGAGGAGCCCGCGGCCGAUUAGCUAGUUGGUAGGGUAAAGGCCUACCAAGGCAGAGAUCGGUAGCCGGCCUGAGAGGGCACACGGCCACACUGGCACUGAAACACGGGCCAGACUCCUACGGGAGGCAGCAGUGGGGAAUCUUGCACAAUGGGGGCAACCCUGAUGCAGCGACGCCGCGUGAGCGAUGAAGCCCUUCGGGGUGUAAAGCUCUUUCGUCAGGGAAGAUGAUGACGGUACCUGGAGAAGCAGCUGCGGCUAACUACGUGCCAGCAGCCGCGGUAAUACGUAGGCAGCGAGCGUUGUUCGGAGUUACUGGGCGUAAAGGGUGUGUAGGCGGUUCUUUAAGUUUGGUGUGAAAUCUCCCGGCUCAACCGGGAGGGUGCGCCGAAUACUGAGGGACUAGAGUGCGGGAGAGGAAAGUGGAAUUCCUGGUGUACGGUGAAAUGCGUAGAUAUCAGGAGGAACACCGGUGGUGUAGACGGCUUUCUGGACCGUAACUGACGCUGAACACGAAAGCGUGGGUAGCAAACAGGAUUAAUACCCUGGUAUCCACGCCCUAACGAUGCAUAUUUGGUGUGGUCAUUCAGUUGAUCCGUGCCGGAGCUAACGCGUUAAAUAUGCGCCUGGGAGUACAGUC
rnacentral:rRNA from 1 species